GGCAUCCAGGUUCCUCAUCAUGAUCUUUGCAGCAGCACUAAUUGUGUUAUUGGCUUUAACUUCAAGAACCACCCAGGGAGAAUCUGUCUUCCAAAGCGACGCUCCUGUUGUCGUCCAGGAGGGACAACCCGUUUUGCUGCCAUGCCGAUACAAAACCUCUUACUCCCCGUACCUUUUCUGGUACGAACAACGCCGUAAUGAAGCCCCUCAGCUCUUGCUGACCAGCUUUGAUGGUCAGAAUGAGGAGGCAAAGAAGCUCAGCAAGGGGUUCGAAGCUGUCCAUGAUAAGAAGGAGACCUUCAAUCUGACAAAGGACUCUGUGGAGCUGAGAGACUCGGCUGUCUACUUCUGCGUCAUGAGUGACACAGUGAGGAGAUCUCUGUCU